AUACGGAGGGUGCAAGCGUUAUCCGGAUUCAUUGGGUUUAAAGGGUGCGCAGGCGGAAUGAUAAGUCAGUGGUGAAAUCCUACAGCUCAACUGUAGAACUGCCAUUGAUACUGUUGUUCUUGAGUAUAGUUGAAGUGGGUGGAAUGUAUCAUGUAGCGGUGAAAUGCAUAGAUAUGAUACAGAACUCCGAUAGCGAAGGCAACUCACUAAACUAUAACUGACGCUCAUGCACGAAAGCGUGGGGAGC
rnacentral:rRNA from 1 species